rnacentral:rRNA from 1 species
GAUUAACGCUGGCGGCGUGCAUAACACAUGCAAGUCGAACGAUGAAACUUUAAUGAACCCUUCGGGGAGAAUUAAAGCGGAUUAGUGGCGAACGGGUGAGUAACGCGUGAGUAACCUGCCUUACACAAGGGGAUAGCCUUUGGAAACGAAGAAUAAUACCCUAUAAAACCAUAAAAGCACAUGCAAUUAUGGUCAAAGUGAUAGCGGUGUAAGAUGGACUUGCGUCUGAUUAGCUAGUUGGUGAGAUAAAAGCCCACCAAGGCAACGAUCAGUAGCCGGCUUGGGAGAGUGUACGGCAACAUUGGGACUGGGACACGGCCCAGACUCCUACGGGAGGCAGCAGUGGGGAAAUUUGCACAAUGGGGGAAACCCUGAUGCAGCGACGCCGCGUGAUUUAGAAGGCCUUCGGGUUGUAAAAAUCUUUUGUAUAGGAAGAAAAUGACAGUACUAUACGAAUAAGGUCCGGCUAAUUACGUG